rnacentral:ncRNA from 2 species
AAAACUGGCAUUUCUGAUGGUUAAGGGAAGCUGGUGAUGUUUUGACUGAAUGUCGGAACUAUUCCAGCACAGCCCCGCUGCUGUGAUCCUGCCUUUUUCACGAUAUGUGAAAAAGGAACCCUUUUAGCAGUUUAUGGUCACUGCCCUUAAUGAGGGUGGGAAGGCCGCUAAAAGGGCGGGAGAGUCAGAAGACCUGCCAUCAGAAAAUUCUGUAA